rnacentral:rRNA from 1 species
GAGGAAUAUUGGACAAUGGACGAAAGUCUGAUCCAGCUAUGCCGCGUGCAGGAUGACGGCCCUAUGGGUUGUAAACUGCUUUUAUACAGGAAGAAAAAAUCCGACGUGUCGGAUCUUGACGGUACUGUAAGAAUAAGGAUCGGCUAACUCCGUGCCAGCAGCCGCGGUAAUACGGAGGAUCCAAGCGUUAUCCGGAAUCAUUGGGUUUAAAGGGUCCGCAGGCGGUUUUUUAAGUCAGAGGUGAAAUCCUACAGCUCAACUGUAGAAUUGCCUUUGAUACUGAAAGACUUGAGUUAUUGUGAAGUGGUUAGAAUGUGUGGUGUAGCGGUGAAAUGCAUAGAUAUCACACAGAAUACCAAUUGCGAAGGCAGAUCACUAACAAUAUACUGACGCUCAGGGACGAAAGCGUGGGUAGCGAAC